rnacentral:rRNA from 1 species
GACGAACGCUGGCGGCGUGCUUAACACAUGCAAGUCGAACGGAAAGGCCCUGCUUGCAGGGUCCUCGAGUGGCGAACGGGUGAGUAACACGUGGGUGAUCUGCCCUUCACUUCGGGAUAAGCUUGGGAAACUGGGUCUAAUACCGGAUAGGAACCAUCUUUAGUGUGGUGGUUGGAAAGUUUUUUCGGUGUAGGAUGAGCUCGCGGCCUAUCAGCUUGUUGGUGGGGUAAUGGCCUACCAAGGCGGCGACGGGUAGCCGGCCUGAGAGGGUGUACGGCCACAUUGGGACUGAGAUACGGCCCAGACUCCUACGGGAGGCAGCAGUGGGGAAUAUUGCACAAUGGGCGCAAGCCUGAUGCAGCGACGCCGCGUGGGGGAUGAAGGCCUUCGGGUUGUAAACUCCUUUCGCUAGGGACGAAGCUUUGUUGUGACGGUACCUAGAUAAGAAGCACCGGCUAACUACGUG